UGUUUGUUUUUGUAAUUUGUGGACAAAAACUACAUACAGGUGCUAAAAAUAAAGCCUCUUUUGCAACCCAGAACUCAUUGUUCAGUAUGAGUUUUGAUACAUAUAAGAAGGAACAUGAUACCUAAAACACUGGUUCUAGGACUGGACUGUAGGAUUAAUAAUUUAAAAAAGCAAAGAAUACAAGGGAAAUAUCAACUAUACUGCUUUAGUAUUUUAAUUUUGCUGUUGAUAACACUAACGAAGUUGACUUUUUUUUACUAGGGUUUUAUCUUGAACACAAUAUCUGGAUUUAUAUCUUACUCUUUAGGAGUGAAGAUUUGCACUUACUCAUGGUUAGCGGGUGUCUGAAAUGAAAAAAACCAGGCAGAUCCAUCUGCUCAGACCCUAACCAUGGCCCUAAAGUAAAUUGCUUGAGGAAAUUAGUUCCCAACGAUUAUAGGUGCAGAGUUUUUGAAGCAUGUCCAUAUUCAAGUGUAGAUCAAAGAAGCUCAACUAAAAGAAUU